GGACAGGAGUCCCCGCACUGCGAGGGCUCGUCAGCAGGGCAGGCCCCAAGCAGAAAGGAGGAGGCAAGGAGCUGGCCACGGGAGGCUUCUGGGUUUCUCGUCCCACCCAGGCACAGAGGAAGGAGGCGGAUGCCAGCCCUGGGACCCACCCCGGGCCCCGCCCUGGGACCCGACCCAGCACCCACCCCGGGCCUCCGUUUCUCUCCGUAAAACAGCAGCAGCUUGAACGAGAUGAUCCCAGCGUCCCCAGGCAGGCCUUUGCCGAGGAGCAGAGACUCAUGAAUGAUCCCGGGAGAGGCUCUGCUGGCGCCAGGCCCAGGCGGACCCUGGGGUCCAAGCUCUGAUGUCGGGAGCGGGGAUUUGGGAUGUUGGCUCAGCCUGUGUCCUCUCAGGGAGCCACACGAUGGCCCGGGCACAAAGGCUGGAGCUUGUCCCUUGUCAGGGGGUCCUGCUGGGUCCUCAGGGGGCAGGGAACCUGGGAGAGUCACCACACUCCUCCAGCUGCAAAAAUGCAGAUGCAGCCCGCCCUGCUCCUGUCGCCAUGGCGACCGAGCAGGAUGUGGGGUCAGCUCAGGAGAGGGAGCCAGGCUCCCCUGCCUGGUGCCUGAUGUCUGAGGACCUGGGGCCCCAUCCAAAGCCCUGUCCACAGUGGGCGUCGCACGGGGGCCUGGAGGAGAAGCUGCCCCCAGCAGUCCUGGAUGCCCCAGCUCUCACCCCGAAAGCCCCUGGUUCAAGAGCUGACCCCCAUCUUGCCCCAGGGCCACGGUCACCUCCGAGUGUGAGCUGUGAGGGUGCAUCUCCCAGGGGAGGCCCGCCCAUCGCCUGCCAUGAGCCCCGCACCCACAGCCACCCCGUCGCCAUGGAGGACUCUGGUGGGAGACCCCCCAAGUCCGCCUGGAUGCCCCCCAUCCCCUUCACUCAGGCCUCCGACGCUCUCACACAUGAACAGGGUCUGACGGGCGUGCCUGCCACCCUGCUCUGCCCCCGCGGGUGCUCCUCUGGCCCCCGAGGCAGACCACACCACAGGCCACACCGUGCGCGGCCGCCUCUGCACUCCUGGGCCCUCGAAGGGCAGCCAAGGCCCCCUGCAUGUCCUCCAGGGUCGUAGGAGCCACUCUCCCCUCAAGGGGCUGCC
rnacentral:lncRNA from 1 species